NNNGCAGCUUCAUGAAGCUGUUGGUUUCAAGCAGGAGCCUAAAGAGAUGUCUUUCUAUGGUCUGUUGGCCAUUUCAGAAUUUGGGCAGUGAAACUGUCAAUUCAUUAGAAAGAAACAGCU
rnacentral:snoRNA from 1 species